rnacentral:rRNA from 1 species
UGAGUGCGAGCUGCUACGGCAGCGAAGUUGGUGAUGUCAUGCUUCCAAGAAAAGCCCUAUACCCGUUAAGGCAUCAUGGCCUGUACCCGAAACCGACACAGGUGGGGUGGUAGAGAAUACCGAGGGGCGCGAGGUAACUCUCUCUAAGGAACUCGGCAAAAUGGCCCCGUAACUUCGGGAGAAGGGGUGCCACCGCAAGGUGGUCGCAGUGAAGAGGCCCAGGCGACUGUUUACCAAAAACACAGGUCUCCGCUAAGUCGCAAGACGAUGUAUGGGGGCUGACGCCUGCCCAGUGCCGGAAGGUUAAGGAAGCUGGUCAGCGCAAGCGAAGCUAGCGACUGAAGCCCCGGUGAACGGCGGCCGUAACAAUAACGGUCCUAAGGUAGCGAAAUUCCUUGUCGGGUAAGUUCCGACCCGCACGAAAGGCGUAACGAUCUGGGCGCUGUCUCGGAGAGAGGCUCGGCGAAAUAGAAUUGUCUGUGAAGAUGCGGACUACGUGCACCCGGACAGAAAGACCCUAUGAAGCUUUACUGUAGCUUGGUAUUGUGCCCGGGCUCGCAGUGCGCAGGAUAGGUGGGAGGCUUUGAUCAUCGGCUUGUGGGUCGAUGUGAGCCAACGGUGAGAUACCACUCUUUGCGAGCUAGGGUUCUAACGGCCACCCGUCAUCCGGGGGCCGGACAGUACCUGGUGGGCAGUUUGACUGGGGCGGUCGCCUCCUAAAAGGUAACGGAGGCGCGCAAAGGUUUGCUCAGGCUGGUUGGAAAUCAGCCGACGAGUGUAAAAGCAGAAGCAAGCUUGACUGUGAGACCAACAAGUCGAACAGGGAGGAAACUCGGCUUUAGUGAUCCGACGGUUCUGAGUGGAAGGGCCGUCGCUCAACGGAUAAAAGUUACUCUAAGGAUAACAGGCUGAUCUCCCCCAAGAGUUCACAUCGACGGGGAGGUUUGGCACCUCGAUGUCGGCUCAUCGCAACCUGGGGCUGAAGUCGGUCCCAAGGGUUGGGCUGUUCGCCCAUUAAAGCGGUACGCGAGCUGGGUUCAGAACGUCGUGAGACAGUUCGGUCCAUAUCCGGUGCACGCGCAGGAAUAUUGAGAGGAUUUCUCCCUAGUACGAGAGGACCGGGAGGAACGCACCUCUGGUGUACCAGUUAUCGUGCCAACGGUAAACGCUGGGUAGCCAUGUGCGGAGUGGAUAACCGCUGAAAGCAUCUAAGUGGGAAGCCCACCUCAAGAUGAGUAUUCCCAUGGCGUAAGCCAGUAAGGUCACGGGAAGAACACCCUUUGAUAGGCUCUAUGUGGAAGCGCAGUAAUGCGUGAAGCAGAGGAGUACUAAUAGACCGAGGGCUUGACCC